rnacentral:rRNA from 1 species
CCUACGGGGGGCAGCAGUGAGGAAUAUUGGUCAAUGGGCUUACGCCUGAACCAGCCAAGUCGCGUGAGGGAAGACUGCCCUAUGGGUUGUAAACCUCUUUUGUCAGGGAGCAACGCCGGCUACGUGUAGCCGGACUGAGAGUACCUGAAGAAAAAGCAUCGGCUAACACCGUGCCAGCAGCCGCGUUAAUACGGAGGAUGCGAGCGUUAUCCGGAUUUAUUGGGUUAACAGGGUGCGUAGGCGGAAAGCCAGUUCAGCGGUAAAAUCGAGGGGUCAACCCUCGCACUGCCGUUGAAACUGGCGUUCUUGAGUGGGCGAGAAGUAUGCGGAAUGCGUGGUGUAGCGGUGAAAUGCAUAGAUAUCACGAAGAACUCCGAUUGCGAAGGCAGCAUACCGG